GCGCUCAUAGUUCAAUUGGAUAGAACGUCCGACUUCGGAUCGGAAGGUUAUGGGUUCAACUCCUGUUGGGCGCACCA
rnacentral:tRNA from 1 species